AGUGAACGCUGGCGGUAGGCCUAACACAUGCAAGUCGAACGGCAGCACAGUAAGAGCUUGCUCUUACGGGUGGCGAGUGGCGGAAGGGUGAGGAAUACAUCGGAAUCUACUUUUUCGUGGGGGAUAACGUAGGGAAACUUACGCUAAUACCGCAUACGACCUACGGGUGAAAGCAGGGGAUCUUCGGACCUUGCGCGAUUGAAUGAGCCGAUGUCGGAUUAGCUAGUUGGCGGGGUAAAGGCCCACCAAGGCGACGAUCCGUAGCUGGUCUGAGAGGAUGAUCAGCCACACUGGAACUGAGACACGGUCCAGACUCCUACGGGAGGCAGCAGUGGGGAAUAUUGGACAAUGGGCGCAAGCCUGAUCCAGCCAUACCGCGUGAGUGAAGAAGGCCUUCGGGUUGUAAAGCCCUUUUGUUGGGAAAGAAAAGCAGCAGGUUAAUACCCCGCUGUUCUGACGGUACCCAAAGAAUAAGCACCGGCUAACUUCGUG
rnacentral:rRNA from 1 species